UCCAUAGUAAUUAUUGCUAUUCAAGGUUCCUUUUAAGAUGAAGUAGCUUCUCCCUUGUUUUUCAGGGGAGACAGGAUUUUUUGGCAGUCAUUCUCUAUUGUGUGCCUCAGCAGCAGCACGUGUGUAGAGUGUUUUUUCUAUGACCAAGUGGAGGAUCCAGCUGGCAGUAGCAGCCAUGUAGGACCCUUCAGGAACCUGAUGGUAAG